rnacentral:rRNA from 1 species
CAGCAGCCGCGGUAAUACGUAGGUCCCGAGCGUUGUCCGGAUUUAUUGGGCGUAAAGCGAGCGCAGGCGGUUAGAUAAGUCUGAAGUUAAAGGCUGUGGCUUAACCAUAGUACGCUUUGGAAGCUGUUUAACUUGAGUGCAAGAGGGGAGAGUGGAAUUCCAUGUGUAGCGGUGAAAUGCGUAGAUAUAUGGAGGAACACCGGUGGCGAAAGCGGCUCUCUGGCUUGUAACUGACGCUGAGGCUCGAAAGCGUGGGGAGCAAACAGGAUUAGAUACCCGGGUAGUCCCUGUCUCUUAUACA